AACAAGUUGUGUUCGCACUGCUUGUCCCAAGUUGUCAACAAGUUUGGAACAAGCUGUUAACAACUUGUAACAACCUUGUUGAUAUUAUCAGACUUGUUGCAAGGUUGUUCCAAUGAGUCCGAUACAGUCAUGAUGUAACAAUAUUGUUACAACCUUGUGUUGUCAACCUUGUAACAUUCUUGUUAUAGCAUGACCCUAUCGGACUUGUUAGAACAACCUUGUACCAAGUCUGAUAAUGCCAUCAAGCUUGUGCCAAGUUAUUAAAAGCUUGUUCCGAACUUGUUGCAACAACUAUUUGUCGACGACAACUUGUUUGCAGACCUGUAACAACUUGUGCGUUUUCAUGUGUGUUUAUUAACAAAUAUAAAACAUUUUCCGUGUUGAUAUAUAGUUAUAUCAACACGAGUGGAAUUGGGAAAACGAGAAAUUGUAUGGAAACACGACGCCCGAAGGGCGGAGUGUUUUCAUACAAUUUCUCGUUUUCCCAACUUCCACGAGUGUUGAUAUAACUAUAUAUCAAUACGGAAAAAUGUUUUAUAUUUUUUUUAUAAUAUAGCAAUGUCAAAAGCCCGAAGGAUAAGAAGAAUUUCCGUGUUUACAAGCGGCGGAAAAUUUCCCGUGUUGACAUCGAGUUAUAUCAACACGGCUCUUAGCCAAUCAGCGUUCAGAAUUUACAAUCAGCGUUCAGAAUUUACAAGUUAUUAACACUGGCUUUUCUUUUCUUAGAUUUGGCCUCAGUACUGUCAUCUUGAAUACAGAAGGCAAAAACUUUGAUGUUUUUGGCCUGGCGAGGCUGUCAUUUCAUAGAAUUGUAUUUUCUUGCACAGACGUUGUUUGUAAAAGCCGCGCUACACACAAUAAAUGACGAGAGAUUGGUCGUCUGAGAGUUGAGACGCGUCUUUAACUUUAGAAAAAAAGAUAUAUUUUUGUAUAUCUAAAUUUAGUAGCAUUAUAGGGUUCACCGCAUAUAGUGCUAUUUUGCAUUAGAAUUUAGUUUUUGUCGAUGAAAAAUGAGAUUAUUAAAUAUACCCAUCAUAUCGUUUAUGGUAAGAG